rnacentral:rRNA from 1 species
CGCGAAUGGCUCAUUACAACAGCCGUUGUUUCUUGGAUCUUACUUUACUUGGAUAACUGUGGUAAUUCUAGAGCUAAUACAUGCAACCAAGCUCCAACCGUAAGGAAGGAGCGCAUUUAUUAGACCAAAACCAAUCAGCCUCGGCUGAAUUUUGGUGACUCUGAAUAACUUUGCUGAUCACACAGUCCUAGCACUGGUGACAUAUCUUUCAAGUGUCUGCCCUAUCAACUUUCGAUGGUAGUUUAUGUGACUACCAUGGUUGUAACGGGUAACGGAGAAUAAGGGUUCGACUCCGGAGAGGGAGCCUGAGAAAUGGCUACCACAUCCAAGGAAGGCAGCAGGC